rnacentral:tRNA from 1 species
GGAAAUGUGGCUUAGUGGUAAAGAGCUUGCCUAGCGUGCAUGAAGCCCUGGGUUCGAUUCCUCAGUACCA